AGAGUUUGAUCCUGGCUCAGGAUGAACGCUGGCGGCGUGCCUAACACAUGCAAGUCGAACGGAGUUCUUAAGGAAUGCGACUUCGGUCAAAUGACUUUUGAACUUAGUGGCGGACGGGUGAGUAACGCGUGAGCAACCUGCCUUUCAGAGGGGGAUAACAUUUGGAAACAGAUGCUAAUACCGCAUAAGAUUACAGUACCGCAUGAUACAGUGAUCAAAGGAGCAAUCCGCUGAAAGAUGGGCUCGCGUCCGAUUAGAUAGUUGGUGAGGUAACGGCUCACCAAGUCGACGAUCGGUAGCCGGACUGAGAGGUUGAACGGCCACAUUGGGACUGAGACACGGCCCAGACUCCUACGGGAGGCAGCAGUGGGGAAUAUUGCACAAUGGGCGAAAGCCUGAUGCAGCAACGCCGCGUGAGGGAAGACGGUUUUCGGAUUGUAAACCUCUGUUUUCGGUGACGAACAAAUGACGGUAACCGAGUAGGAAGCCACGGCUAACUACGUGCCAGCAGCCGCGGUAAUACGUAGGUGGCAAGCGUUGUCCGGAAUUACUGGGUGUAAAGGGUGCGCAGGCGGGAUUGCAAGUUGGAUGUGAAAUACUGGGGCUUAACCCCGGAGCUGCAUCCAAAACUGUAGUUCUUGAGUGGAGUAGAGGUAAGCGGAAUUCCGAGUGUAGCGGUGAAAUGCGUAGAUAUUCGGAGGAACACCAGUGGCGAAGGCGGCUUACUGGGCUCUAACUGACGCUGAGGCACGAAAGCAUGGGUAGCAAACAGGAUUAGAUACCCUGGUAGUCCAUGCUGUAAACGAUGAAUGCUAGGUGUGGGGGGACUGA
rnacentral:rRNA from 1 species